rnacentral:rRNA from 1 species
UGGUGACCAUGGAGAAGCGGCAACACACGUUCCCAUCCCGAACACGACAGUGAAACGCUUCAUCGCCGAUGGUACUGCGGCUCAGUCCGUGGGAGAGUAGGUCGUUGCCAG